rnacentral:tRNA from 1 species
GUUUUAAUAAUUUAAUAAAAAUAUUGGUCUUGUAAACCAAAAAUAAGAGAGCCCUUUUAAAACU